CCCUCUCUCUCCCUCCCCUCCCCCGACUCUCACUUUCUCUGUCUAUAAACUAUGGAGAAUAUGAUGAACAAGAUCCGGAAUUUGGUCGCAUACCCCGAAAUCAACGAAGAUUUCUACAGCCGUACCCUCUCCGGCGGCGUCAUCACUCUCGCCUUCUCCAUCGUUAUGCUCCUGCUCUUCUCCAAGGUCGUACGCUUUCCUUUUGCUAUUUCUCUUUGUUAUUUGAUUGGAAUUUGUGUUUUCAUUGAAGAUCUGUCAGAUUCUAGGGUUUGGAAUUAUGAAGUAAUGUCAAUUUUGUAUUUCAAGUGGGUGGUAUAGUCUUAUCAGAUCCAACCAUAUUCUCUCAGAGUCUACGAGUACGGGAGAAUCUCACUGUUUUUGCUUCCUUCAUUGGUCAAUUCGACCAGGUAUAAGAAAGUUGGGUACUUGAAUACUGAUGUUGGGCAACCUGAGUUCAGUCCUCGUGGGUUUCUAUCUCUCCUUGUGCUACAUGAAGUCACUCCAGGAGUUUUGGUUGGAGUUUAAACUUUUUGGUGGUCAACUGGUCAUAGAGUGCUGAUCAACACGAUUAAGCUUUUCACAAAGGAUGAUAUGUGCCAUUGUUUUGGUUGCCUGUUUCUCACGGGGUUUGAUAAUUACUUUCAGCAUUUAUAUUAACAAUUUGCUCUGUCAGAACAAUAAAUCCCUGAGAAACAAACUAAUUGAAAUGCAAAUAUAAGUGUCAAGCCCUCAAUUUUACUGGACCAAAAAUUCAGCAUAUAUAUGUCUGUAAAAUAUUAUGGAAUGUCAAAUUCUGCAGUGACAGUCAUCAGUCAAUUCACUC